AUUGAACGCUGGCGGCAGGCCUAACACAUGCAAGUCGAGCGGCUGCACAGUGCUUGCUCCUUGUUUCGGCGGCCGACUGGCGGGCGGGUGCUGGGAAUCUCCGUAGCUAUUGUUUCUAACGUCCUAACGCGGGCGCUCAUACCCCAAUCCUCCUUACGACCAACGUGUGGGAUCUUCGGAUCUUCCGCUCUCACAUGAGCCGAGGUCGGAUUAGCUAGUUGGUGGGGUAAAGGCCUACCAAGGCGACGAUCCGUAACUGGUCUGAGAGGAUGAUCAGUCACACUGGAACUGAGACACGGUCCAGACUCCUACGGGAGGCAGCAGUGGGGAAUAUUGGACAAUGGGCGAAAGCCUGAUCCAGCCAUGCCGCGUGGGUGAAGAAGGUCUUCGGAUUGUAAAGCACUUUUGGUGGGGAGGAAGGGCAGUAAGUUAAUACCUUGCUGUUCUGACGGUACCAAAAGAAUAAGCACCGGCUAACUUCGUG
rnacentral:rRNA from 1 species